rnacentral:tRNA from 2 species
AAGGACUUAGGAUUAUCUAGACCAAGAGCCUUCAAAGCCCUAAGAGGGAGUGAAAACCUCUCAGUCCUUG